rnacentral:rRNA from 1 species
CAACACCGGGUGAAGGAUGAAGGCCUUCGGGUUGUAAACUUCUGUUCUAAGGGAAGAAAGAAAUGACGGUACCUUAGGAGCAAGCCCCGGCUAACUACGUGCCAGCAGCCGCGGUAAUACGUAGGGGGCAAGCGUUAUCCGGAAUUAUUGGGCGUAAAGAGUGCGUAGGUGGUUACCUAAGCGCAAGGUUUAAUUUAGAGGCUCAACCUCUACUUGCCUUGCGAACUGGGCUACUUGAGUGCAGGAGGGGAAAGCGGAAUUCCUAGUGUAGCGGUGAAAUGCGUAGAUAUUAGGAGGAACACCAGCGGCGAAGGCGGCUUUCUGGACUGUAACUGACACUGAGGCACGAAAGCGUGGGUAGCAAACAGGAUUAGAUACCCUGGUAGUCCACGCCGUAAACGAUGAGCACUAGGUGUUGGGUCCGUUAGGACUCAGUGCCGCAGUUAACGCAAUAAAGUGCUCCGCCUGGGGAGUACGCUCGCAAGAGUAAAACUCAAAGGACUAGACGGGGACCGCACAAGCAGC